AGCAGCCGCGGUAAUUCCAGCUCCAAUAGCGUAUAUUAAAGUUGUCGCAGUUAAAAAGCUCGUAGUUGAACUUCGGGGUUUACCCAUUGGUCAGGCUUAAUUGUCUGUACUGGUGAGAUAAAUCUCUACCUUCUGAGGAACUUUCAUGUCAUUAAUUUGGUGUGAUUGGAAAUCAGGACUGUUACUUUGAAAAAUUAGAGUGUUUAAAGCAGGCUAACGUCUGAAUACAUUAGCAUGGAAUAAUGAAAUAGGACGGACUGAUUCUAUUUCGUUGGUUUCUAGGAUCACCGUAAUGAUUAAUAGGGAUAGUUGGGGGCAUUAGUAUUCAAUUGUCAGAGGUGAAAUUCUUGGAUUUAUUGAAGACUAACUACUGCGAAAGCAUUUGCCAAGGAUGUUUUCAUUAAUCAAGAACGAAAGUUAGGGGAUCGAAGACGAUCAGAUACCGUCGUAGUCUUAACCAUAAACUAUGCCGACUAGGGAUCGGACGAAGUUAAUUUUAUAAUGACGCGUUCGGCACCUU
rnacentral:misc_RNA from 2 species